AGCGAACGCUGGCGGCAGGCCUAACACAUGCAAGUCGAACGAACUCUUCGGUGUUUGUGGCGGACGGGUGAGUAACACGAGGGAACGUGCCUUUUGGUUCGGUAUAACUCAGGGCAACUUGUGCCAAUACCGAAUGUGCCCUUCGGGGGAAAGAUUUAUCGCCAUUAGAGCGUCCCGCGUCUGAUUAGCUAGUUGGUGAGGUAACGGCUCACCCAGGCUGUGUUCAGUAGCUGGUCUGAGAGGAGGACCAGCCACACUGGGUCCGAGACACGGCUCAGACUCCUAGGAAAGGCAGCAGUGGGGAAUCUUGCGCGAUGGGCGAAAGCCGGACGCAGCCGUGCCGCGAAAAUCAUGAAGGUCUUAGGAUUGUAAGUUUCUUUCGCAAGGGACGAAAGUGACGGUACCCGGAGAAGAAGCCCCGGCUAACUACGUG
rnacentral:rRNA from 1 species